GGCGAACGCUGGCGGCGUGCUUAACACAUGCAAGUCGAACGGAAAGGCCCUGCUUUUGUGGGGUGCUCGAGUGGCGAACGGGUGAGUAACACGUGAGUAACCUGCCCUUGACUUUGGGAUAACUUCAGGAAACUGGGGCUAAUACCGGAUAGGAGCUCCUGCUGCAUGGUGGGGGUUGGAAAGUUUCGGCGGUUGGGGAUGGACUCGCGGCUUAUCAGCUUGUUGGUGGGGUAGUGGCUUACCAAGGCUUUGACGGGUAGCCGGCCUGAGAGGGUGACCGGCCACAUUGGGACUGAGAUACGGCCCAGACUCCUACGGGAGGCAGCAGUGGAGAAUAUUGCACAAUGGGCGGAAGCCUGAUGCAGCAACGCCGCGUGCGGGAUGACGGCCUUCGGGUUGUAAACCGCUUUCGCCUGUGACGAAGCGUGAGUGACGGUAAUGGGUAAAGAAGCACCGGCUAACUACGUG
rnacentral:rRNA from 1 species